GAUGAAGAACGCAGCGAAAUGCGAUAAGUAAUGAAUUGCAGAAUUCAGUGAAUCAUCGAAUCUUUGAACGCAUCUUGCGCUCCUUGGUAUUCUGAGGAGCAUGCCUGUUUGAGUGUCAUUAAAUUCUCAACUACACUGACUUUGAAUUGGUGUGGCUUGGAUUUGGGGGGAAAAUUGUUGUGGGCUUUUUGUAUAGUCUGCUCCCCUGAAAUUGAUUAGCGGUACCUUUGUGGAACUGUCUACAGGUGUGAUAAUUAUCUACAUCUUAGACAUCUGCUGGAAUGCUGCUUUCUAAACCUUACUUGUAUUGACAAUCUUGACCUCAAAUCAGGUAGGACUACCCGCUGAACUUAAGCAUAUCAAUAAGCGGAGGA
rnacentral:misc_RNA from 1 species